GGUGUGGGCGGGUGAUGGAUGGAUGGUACCGGUGUGCGUGGGUGACGUUCGGGCACCGAUAGGUACGGGACGGACACCCGAAGGGGGAGCGAGGCUGGCGCAUGGUGGGGCCGGUUCCGCUUGAGCGGAGGUGCCGGUGGCGGGGUGAUGGCACAACUGAUCCUGAACGCCGUCUGAGGACGGGAAAGGACAGACUGGACGGGAGCUGGAGAGAAGCCGGCGCCGAUGUGGAUCGUGCCUGACGAUUCGGAUCACCUUCACGGUGAAAUGCCAGAGCCGGUGCACCAGGGGAGUGCAGGGGACAGUGUCUGCCCCGGCCGCAGGAAGGCUUUUGGCGCUGUACCUCUUGGGAUCCAACGACGAGGUGUUGGGAGCAUGGGCUGGAAGAGUCGGGAGCGGCUGCAUUGGACCGGGGCUGUAUGGCCGAGCCCAGAGCAGGGUGUUCAGCGGCCGGUAAUGAGCAGUGUACCCCGGGGUCA